rnacentral:rRNA from 1 species
UCACCUACGGGGCGCAGCAGUGAGGAAUAUUGGUCAAUGGGCGGGAGCCUGAACCAGCCAAGUCGCGUGAAGGAAGAAGGUACUUAGUAUUGUAAACUUCUUUUGUCGGGGAACAAAGGCGCCCACGGGUGGGCGGAUGAGUGUACCCGAAGAAAAAGCAUCGGCUAACUCCGUGCCAGCAGCCGCGGUAAUACGGAGGAUGCGAGCGUUAUCCGGAUUUAUUGGGUUUAAAGGGUGCGUAGGCGGACAGUCAAGUCAGCGGUAAAAAUGCGGUGCUCAACGCCGUACAGCCGUUGAAACUGGCA